GACAGAGGGUGCAAACGUUGCUCGGAAUCACUGGGCAUAAAGCGCACGUAGGCCGUGCACUAAGUUCGAUGUGAAAUCCCCCGGCUCAACCGGGGAACUGCAUCGGAUACUGGUGCACUCGAGAGUUGUAGGGGUGGACGGAACUCCAGGUGGAGCGGUGAAAUGCGUAGAUAUCUGGAGGAACACCGGAGGCGAAAGCGGUCCACUGGGCAACUUCUGACGCUGAGGUGCGAAAGCUAGGGUAGCAAACGGG
rnacentral:rRNA from 1 species